CCUCCCCUCCCCACCCUCAUUUUAGGGUUAGCAGCUAAGGGAGCAGCGUUUUUCUGAAGAGAGGUUGUAUUCUUCUAGAGCUGUCACUGGCUGUUGGAAGGGCUUCCUGAGGUUCCUGCUGCACUGUUUGCUCUCUUGGGUUAGAAAGGCCACAAGCUGUUUCUGCUCUCAGUGGAAUUCCAAGGGGUGUGCAUUAUAAUCGAGUGGCACGAAGACAUUUCAAUUGGUGCAGUUUCCAGCAAGCUCACAGUGAACAAUAGGAUACAUGGCCAGCUGGGAUUUACUAGACACUUCCAAAACAUCGUUAUUUCCAGUUUGAAAUGCUAUCCACUGUGAAGUCAAAUCCCUGCAGUGAGACUGCUGAGACUUUACACUCUGCCAGAGUAAAGGCGCUGCCCUGAUCGCAUGUAGUCCAACUGGAGCCAUGUCUGGGAGAGGAAACUGAACAGAGACAGGGCGGGUUGGAAACUCUGUCCUGGUCACUGUGUUCACGGCUGCUAUAAAAAGACUUGAGUCAAUCGUGAAUUUUGUCAGAACAUUCUAAUACAGAUAGAAGGAGAAGGUCACUUUGAAAAUAGCUCCUAUUUAUUUGUCUGUCGUUGCUCAUAAGAAAUUAAGUACAUGCACCAGAUGCUAGAUUGGCUGUGCCCUUUGUUCAUAACACAGGCAAUUAAAACAAAAAGAAGAAUACCCAAGUGGUAUAGUUUUAAUAAUCUUGAAGAUUAGCUACUAAUCCCAAAUCAGAAUGAAUUUUCCAUCAGAGUGACUUGUAGAUCUCUGUCACUAUAAAUCUUGCCUAGUGAAGUCCAUUACCCUAAGGAAUGUUCAUGGACUACAGAAAAAAGCCAGGAUCAUUGAUUAGAAAAAAUAAAGGUAAAACAUUGUCUGGAAGGUGCUGUGUUGGUGACUUGUAGGUGCACACAAAACUCAGCCCUGCUUCUAUUCUUAUAUACAAGGUGAAUAGCUUUGAGAAGUUAAGCACCCAUCCACCAUCAUUUCUAUUUACUUUACUUCUAUUGAAGUCAUGGAAUACUUAGAGUUGGAAGGGACCUUUAAAGGCUGGCUAGUCCAACUCUCCUACACUGAUCAGGGAUGUCCAUGAGUAGACCAAGUUGCCCAGGGCCUGAUUCAGCCUGGCCUCAACGGUGCAUCAACCACAUGUCUGGGCAACUUGUUCCAGUGCCUUACUGCCUUUACUGUAAAAGUACUUUUCCUUAUAUCCAACCUCAGUCUACCCUCUCUAAGUUUGAAAUAAUUUCCCCUUGUUCUGUCUCCACAGACCCUGCAAAAGAGCCUGUCCCUUUUUUUUUUUUUUUUUUUUUUUCCCCUGUAAGCUUCCCUUUACACACAUAAAGGCCACUAUUUGGUUAUUUGGAGCCUUCCCUUCUCUAGGCUGAAUAGCCCCAGCUCUCCUCAUAGGAUGGGUGAUCCUCCAUCCCUUGGAUCAUUUUUGUGGUCCUCUGGAUGCUCUCUGGCAAGAAGCAGUGUUCCAAGUGAGGUCUCACUAGUGCAGAGUAGAGGGGCAGGGUCACCUCCCUCAAUCCGCAGGCCACACUUCUUUUGAUGCAGGACAGGAUGCAGUUGGCUUUCUGGCUUGAGGCUCUUGUCCCAGCUUCCCACCGACCAGUACUGCCAAGUUCUUUUUGGCAGGGCUGUACUCAAUGCUUUCUUCCCUCAGCUUGUAUUAGUAAUGGGGGUUGCCUUGAUCCAGGUGCAAGUCCUUGCACUUGGAUUUGUUGCACCUUUUGAUGUUCUUGUGGGCUCCCUGCUCAUCUGUCAUGUCCUUCUGGAUGGCAUCCUGUCGCUCAGGCGUUUUGACUGCCCUUCACAGCUCAGCAUCAUCUGCAAACUUAGUGAGGGUGCACUCCACCCCACUGUCAAUAUCACUGACGAAGAUGUUAAAUAGUAUCAGUCCUAGUACUGACCCUUUGGGACACCACUUUGUCACCUAUCUCCAUCCAUACCUGGUGCUAUUGACCACCACUCUCUGUGUUUGAUCCUGAAGCCAGUUCUUCAUCUAUUGAACGGUCCAGCCAUCCCAUCCAUAUCUUCCCAAUUUGGAAAGGAGGAUAUUGCAGAGGACUGUGUCAUAGACUUCACUGAAGUCCAGACAGAUGACAUCAGUGGCUCUUCCCGUGUCCACGCAUCUCAUCAGGACCCAUAGACUUGUAGAUGUUUAGGUUCCUCAGGUGGUCAUGAACCUGACCUUUGCUUACAGGGGGAAGGGCAUUGCUUCCCCAGUCCCCUCCUUCCCCAGUCCUCCAAACCAAACAUAUGAGGGCUGUGUGACAAGCAGUUAUCAUCAACAGGCUCCCCUUGUUCAGGUGGCCUGUAGUAGGCACAGUCACAAGGCUCUCUGAUGCCUCGGUUUCUAACAGUCACCCAUAAGUUUUCUACUAAGUUAAUAAUACCAAGUCUUACUGCCACAUUGCUGCAAAUUACAGCUAUCACAAAUAUUUCUAAAUGGUUGUUAGGCAAGCUGAGUGAAAAGAUUUGGGCUUUUGCUGGAGUACCUGAAAUUGGGUUAAAAUUAUUCUAUCUCUGGGACCCUGUAGAGAAACAAAUGUUUGAGGGGAGUCAUUUCCUUAAGAAAAUGAAAAAAAAUCCCCUGCUCACAGCAAACCUUUGCUGAUUUUGUUGUAUGAACAAUGCCAGUGUAGCUUGAAACAUGAAAAAGAAAAUCCUAAUUGCUGCUGGUGAUUCAUAGGUAUCUGAGGCCACAGGCCUCAGGCAGAGGUACUGGUGCAGACCAAAUUCAAAAUUGUGAACCAGAGGUCUUUUGUUUAGAAAUUAAUUAUCAUAGAAUCAUUGAAAGAUUUGAGUUGGAAUUCUAGUCCAGCUCUCCUGCAACGAACAGUAACACCUACAGCUAGACCAGGGUGCUCAGAACCCUGUUCAGUCUGACCUGGAAUGUCUCCAAAUGUACAUGUUUUGUGAUCCCACAAUUCUGACGAACAAUACUAGGCAGUGGAGCGUGAAGAAUAUUCCUC